ACGCAUUUUAGGAUUGAUCGAUAUCGUGUGAUGGGGGAAAAACACCCAACUACUCGCACACAAGUGCGCACACGUCAUCAUAGUGCAACCAAUGGGUAGGUCCAUCGAUCGUUUCUUGCUCUGCGCAGGAUCCAUGCAUAUUGUAUCCGACCAAAUUACAACGUAAAAAGAAACUCGGGAUCGGCAUUCGGAUAAUAACGCCGUUGAUGGAAUACAAUAAAACGCGAUGUGAACACCGCGCUGACGACGACGACGCACGACGGUCGGAACGGAUACGUUUCCGUAAUUUUGGCAGGUUCGAUCGCGG